rnacentral:misc_RNA from 1 species
GAUGAAGAACGCAGCGAAAUGCGAUAAGUAAUGCGAAUUGCAGAAUUCAGUGAGUCAUCGAAUCUUUGAACGCACAUUGCGCCCUUUGGUAUUCCAAAGGGCAUGCCUGUUCGAGCGUCAUUUGUACCCUCAAGCUUUGCUUGGUGUUGGGCGUCUUGUCUCUAGCUUUGCUGGAGACUCGCCUUAAAGUAAUUGGCAGCCGGCCUACUGGUUUCGGAGCGCAGCACAAGUCGCACUCUCUAUCAGCAAAGGUCUAGCAUCCAUUAAGCCUUUUUUUCAACUUUUGACCUCGGAUCAGGUAGGGAUACCCGCUGAACUUAAGCAUAUCAAUAAGCGGAGGA